UCAGUCGGUAGAGCAUGAGACUCUUA
rnacentral:piRNA from 5 species